CAAGAUUUCAUUAUUUCACAACAUAAGAGGUUGACUGUCCUAUUUGUAGUAGACGAUUAGGGAAAUUAAAAUGUAAUUAUAUCUACAUCAUUGUUGUGUUUACUCGUUGCAAAAGGAACUUCAAACUUCUCUUUCAUUCAGGUUCCUUGUCUCACGCUUCCUCCAUUCUCACCUUGGGUUUAAUUAUAACACUGAUUCAUUCUCAGAGGCGUUUAACCUGGAGUGACGGUGAGAUUGGAACAAAAUGCUGCUUUACUUUUUUCUGCUGUUCUUUUUGUGUGUCCACACAGCCGUUAAAUCCCAGAGUACAACUCUGUCUGAGCGUACUUCUUUCCCGGUAACUACAUCUACAGUGGGAGAUGUGCUCCCACCUCUGCAGCUGGUUGCCAUCCCAGACUACCCAGUUGCAGAAGGUCAAACAGUCAACCUGCACUGCAGGGCCAUCAAGAUGUCAGCGUCUCUCAGUUGGUCCUGGCAACGCCUGGAAAAUCAGACCUGGAGCGUAGUAAGCAACGGGAGUGUUCUGACCCUCACUAAGCCACAGGAAAGUGGAGUUUACAGCUGCUUUGCUAAGAACCAGUUCUCUCAGAGGACGGUGAGCGUGAACCACACAGUCGUCAUCAUCUCCAUGCUGCCCACAGUGUGGGACAAUUUGGGAAUCGCCGCCUUUGUCUUUUCCCUCCUGGCCCUGAUCAUCAAUGUUGCCAUUCUGUGUUGGCUGGCCUGGCAAAGAUUUAGUAGCGCCACCUUAAAUCUAACUAGCACAGUGGCGAAAGGGUUUCCUGAACCUGAGAAGGCCCCAAAGGGACGUUUUCCACAGAGUGAAGGUGACGGUGACGUUUACAUAAAUUACAGCAGCACCAGUCAACCCUACACCGAUCUGGACCCGGCCAAUAUGACUGUGGAUAAUGUUUACUCAACUCUCUCCUAA
rnacentral:lncRNA from 1 species